GAUGAACGCUGGCGGCGUGCCUAAUACAUGCAAGUAGAACGCUGAAGCUUGGUGCUUGCACCGAGCGGAUGAGUUGCGAACGGGUGAGUAACGCGUAGGUAACCUGCCUGGUAGCGGGGGAUAACUAUUGGAAACGAUAGCUAAUACCGCAUAACAGUAGAUAUUGCAUGAUAUCUGCUUGAAAGGUGCAAAUGCAUCACUACCAGAUGGACCUGCGUUGUAUUAGCUAGUUGGUGAGGUAACGGCUCACCAAGGCGACGAUACAUAGCCGACCUGAGAGGGUGAUCGGCCAAAACGGGAAUGGGACACGGCCCAGACCCCUACGGGAGGGAGCAGGAGGGGAUCCUCGGCAAUGGGGGGAACCCUGAACGGGGAACGCCGGGUGGGUGAAGAAGGUUUUCGGAUCGCAAAGAUCUGUUGUAAGGGGAGAACGAGUGUGGGAGUGGAAAGUUCACACUGUGACGGUAUCUAACCAGAAAGGGACGGCUAACUACGUG
rnacentral:rRNA from 1 species